rnacentral:rRNA from 1 species
ACGGGUGAGUAACACGUGGGAAACUACCCUUUGGUGCGGAAUAACACAGAGAAAUUUGUGGUAAUACCGCAUGAGCUCUUCGGAGGAAAGAUUUAUCGCCAAAGGAUGUGCCCGCGUCCGAUUAGCUAGUUGGUGAGGUAAUGGCUCACCAAGGCGACGAUCGGUAGCUGGUCUGAGAGGAUGAUCAGCCACACUGGGACUGAGACACGGCCCAGACUCCUACGGGAGGCAGCAGUGGGGAAUAUUGGACAAUGGGCGCAAGCCUGAUCCAGCCAUGCCGCGUGAGUGAUGAAGGCCUUAGGGUUGUAAAGCUCUUUCGCCCGCGAGGAUAAUGACGGUAGCGGGAUAAGAAGCCCCGGCUAACUUCGUGCCAGCAGCCGCGGUAAUACGAAGGGGGCUAGCGUUGUUCGGAAUCACUGGGCGUAAAGCGCACGUAGGCGGACUUUUAAGUCAGAGGUGAAAGCCUGGAGCUCAACUUCAGAACUGCCUUUGAUAUUGGAAGUCUUGAGUCCGGUAGAGGUGAGUGGAACUGCUAGU